rnacentral:rRNA from 1 species
AACGAACGCUGGCGGCAUGCCUAACACAUGCAAGUCGAACGAGACCUUCGGGUCUAGUGGCGCACGGGUGCGUAACGCGUGGGAAUCUGCCCUUGGGUUCGGAAUAACAGCGAGAAAUUGCUGCCAAUACCGGAUGAUGACGUAAGUCCAAAGAUUUAUCGCCCAAGGAUGAGCCCGCGUAGGAUUAGCUAGUUGGUGAGGUAAAGGCUCACCAAGGCGACGAUCCUUAGCUGGUCUGAGAGGAUGAUCAGCCACACUGGGACUGAGACACGGCCCAGACUCCUACGGGAGGCAGCAGUGGGGAAUAUUGGACAAUGGGCGAAAGCCUGAUCCAGCAAUGCCGCGUGAGUGAUGAAGGCCUUAGGUUGUAAAGCUCUUUACCCGGGAUGAUAAUGACAGUACCGGGAGAAUAAGCUCCGGC